rnacentral:rRNA from 1 species
CAGCAGCCGCGGGAAUACGUAGGGGGCAAGCGUUAUCCGGAAUUACUGGGUGUAAAGGGAGCGUAGACGGUUAAACAAGUCUGAAGUGAAAUGCCGGGGCUCAACCCCGGGGCUGCUUUGGGAACUGUAGAACUGGAGUGUCGGAGGGGUAAGCGGAAUUCCCAGUGUAGCGGUGAAAUGCGUAGAUAUUGGGAGGAACACCGGCGGCGAAGGCGGCUUACUGGACGACAACUGACGUUGAGGCUCGAAGGCGUGGGUAGCAAACAGGAUUAGAUACCCCAGUAGUCCCUGUCUCUUAUAC